GGGACACUUCACACACAAAUCACUUUAGCUUUCUGAAAUGUGUUGUGUGAAUAGUGUGUCCUCUUUUUUCAUGUUACAACUGCAAAUGUCCCACUCCUGUGGCGCUGAGGGGGGAGGAAGGGAUUAAAAACUUACCUUUUUUCCAGCGCCAGGACUCUCCUCCCUCUUCUACAGUCACUGGCUGACUGCGCGUCAAGAGCCACGCGCGCAUUCAGCCAGUCUCAUAGGAAAGCAUUAUCAAUCACAGUGAGAAGCGCCUCUAGCGGCUGUCAGUGAGACAGCCACUAGAGGCUGGAUUAACC